UUCCGGUUGAUCCCGCCGGACCCGACUGCUAUCAGAGUGAGAUUAAGCCAUGCGAGUCAACGUAGCAAUACGUGGCACACGGCUCAGUAACACGUAGUCAACAUAACCAAAGGACGUGGAUAAACUCGGGAGACUGAGGCUAAACCGCGAUAGACCAAGAUACCUGGAAUGGUUUUUGAUUGAAAUCUAUAUGGCCUUUGGAUUGGACUGCGUCCGAUCAGGCUGUUGGUGAGGUAAUGGCCCACCAAGCCUAUAACCGGUACGGGCUCUGAGAGGAGGAGCCCGGAGAUGGGUACUGAGACAAGGACCCAGGCCCUAUGGGGCGCAGCAGGCGCGAAACCUCUGCAAUAGGCGAAAGCCUGACAGGGUUACUCUGAGUGACUUUCACUAAGAAAGCCUUUUGACACCUCUAAAAAUGGUGUAGAAUAAGGGGUGGGCAAGUCUGGUGUCAGCCGCCGCGGUAAUACCAGCACCCCGAGUGGUCGGGACGAUUAUUGGGCCUAAAGCAUCCGUAGCCGGCCUUACAAGUCCCCCGUUAAAUCCAACCGCUUAACAGAUGGGCUGCGGAGGAUACUAUAAGACUAGGAGGCAGGAGAGGCAAGCGGUACUCAGUGGGUAGGGGUAAAAUCCGUUGAUCCAUUGAAGACCACCAGUGGCGAAGGCGGCUUGCCAGAAUGCGCUCGACGGUGAGGGAUGAAAGCUGGGGGAGCAAACCGGAUUAGAUACCCGGGUAGUCCCAGCUGUAAACGAUGCAGACUCGGUGAUGGACUAGCUUAAUGCUAGUCCAGUGCCGCAGGGAAGCCGUUAAGUCUGCCGCCUGGGUAGUACGGUCGCAAGACUGAAACUUAAAGGAAUUGGCGGGGGAGCACCACAAGGGGUGAAGCCUGCGGUUCAAUUGGAUUCAACGCCGGA
rnacentral:rRNA from 1 species